rnacentral:rRNA from 1 species
ACUCAAAUGAAUUGACGGGGGCCCGCACAAGCGGUGGAGCAUGUGGUUUAAUUCGACGCAACGCGAAGAACCUUACCUGGGCUCGAACGGCUUUCUAACGCUGGUGGAAACACCGGUAUCCCGCAAGGGAGUAGAGUCGAGGUGCUGCAUGGCUGUCGUCAGCUCGUGUCGUGAGAUGUUGGGUUAAGUCCCGCAACGAGCGCAACCCUUGUCCUGUGUUGCCAGUCCGCAAGGAGGCACUCUCAGGAGACCGCCAGCGAUAAGCUGGAGGAAGGUGGGGAUGACGUCAAGUCAUCAUGGCCUUUAUGUCCAGGGCUACACACGUGCUACAAUGGGCGGUACAAAACGCCGCGAACCCGUGAGGGGGAGCAAAUCGUAAAAAACCGCUCUCAGUUCGGAUUGCAGGCUGCAACCCGCCUGCAUGAAGCUGGAAUCGCUAGUAAUGGUACAUCAGAACGGUACCGUGAAUACGUUCCCGGGCCUUGUACACACCGCCCGU